ensembl:snRNA U6 U6 spliceosomal RNA
GUGUUCGCUUUGGCAGCAUGUGUAUUAAAAUCGGACUAAUACAGAGAAGACUAGGAUGGCUCCAGUGCAAGGACGACACACAAAUUUAUGAAGUGUUUAAUUUAAAA